AGAACGUGUCAGAGGAGGCAUCGUGUUCAGGAAGACUAUCGUUCCAGGCUGCGGCUCAUCUCUUUCACUCUGGAUGUGCUGACAUUGCAGUUUACCAAAACAUGGGAAGUUUGGCUGCAUAAUAAGCAGUAGCAGAGAUACCUUAUUUGUAUUCCUCCUUG
rnacentral:snRNA from 1 species